rnacentral:rRNA from 1 species
UACAGAGACUGCAAGCGUUACUCGGAUUCACUGGGCGUAAAGGGAGCGCAGGCGGACCGGUGUGUCAGAUGUGAAACCCCAAGGCUCAACCUUGGGACUGCGUCUGAAACUGCCGGUCUAGGGACUCGGAGGGGCCGGUGGAAUUCCUGGUGGAGCAGUGAAAUGCGUAGAUAUCAGGAGGAACACCAACGGCGAAGGCAGCCGGCUGGACGAGAUCCGACGCUCAGGCUCGAAAGUAUGGGGAGCAAAAAGG